GACGAACGCUGGCGGCGUGCCUAAUACAUGCAAGUUGAGCGAUGAAGAUUGGUGCUUGCACCAAUUUGAAGAGCAGCGAACGGGUGAGUAACGCGUGGGUAAUCUGCCUUUGAGCGGGGGACAACAUUUGGAAACGAAUGCUAAUACCGCAUAACAACUUUAAACAUAAGUUUUAAGUUUGAAAGAUGCAAUUGCAUCACUCAAAGAUUAUCCCGCGUUUUAUUAGCUAGUUGGUGAGGUAAAGGCUCACCAAGGCAACGAUGCAUAGCCGACCUGAGCGGGUGAUCGGCCACACGGGAACUGAGACACGGUCCAGACGCCUACGGGAGGCAGCAGUAGGGAAUCUUCCGCAAUGGGCGAAAGCCUGACGGAGCAACGCCGCGUGAGUGAUGAAGGUCUGCGGAUCGUAAAACUCUGUUAUUAGGGAAGAACAGAUGUGUAAGUAACUGUGCACAUCUUGACGGUACCUAAUCAGAAAGCCACGGCUAACUACGUG
rnacentral:rRNA from 1 species